rnacentral:lncRNA from 1 species
GAUUAGAAUUAAAUUUAUUAAAUACAUUUAUUAAAUUAAGUAGAUUAAAUAAAUUAAAUUUAUUAAAAAAAUAGAUUAUAAUGGAAUUUUAAUUCCAUUACAAUCCAAACAGAGCCUCUCUCUGUUUAUUAUUUAGGUUGUCACUAUCAUAAAAUUUCAGGACACCAGAGAUAAAAAGAAGAGAAUGGAGUUCUCCAGAGUGAAUGCAGAGACAUUUCACACACACACACACACACACACACACACACACACACACACACACAAUACAUAUGUAUGUAUUUAUUUGGGAUCAGAAUGACAUAGGAUUCUCAAUGAUGACAUUGAAAGCUGGGACAAUGAAACAAGAGCUUCAAAAUUCUGGGGAAAAUUAUUUUCAGCCUAGAAAUUUAUGCCUUCCAAACAAUCAAGCAUGAGGAUAAGAAAAAAAAGAGUUUUUUAGACUUUCAUAUUUCAAAAUAAUUACCUUUGAUGCAGACUUUUUCUUUGUUCUAGUAAAAAGAAAGAAUGGACUAAAACAGAGGAAGAAAAUCCAGAAAAGGAGGACUCCAAUCCAGAUUAAAGGAAUUUCCAAAAUGGUGGCUGAGACAAAACCUGGGGUUCAAGUCAUGUUACAGAGAUGGUGUUCCAGAUUAGUGCAGAAUAGUGGGCUCAAGAAGAAAUGCCUUCAAGAAAAGAUUGAAACCAACACACUACAAGUUUGACAUUGGAAAAGUUGAAUUGAAGAGUUGUUGGAAGGUUCUGAAGACCUCAAAUGGACUGAGCCACACUACCAGCAUCCAGCAUCCAUGGUUCUCCAGUCUGCAGAUGGCCUAUUAUGGGACUUUUCAGUCUUCAUAAUUAUGUAAGCCUAUUUCCUUAAUCUUCUCUCAUCUAUCUACCUCUAUGUAUCUCCUGUUGGUUCUGUCUCUCCAGAGAACCUCAACUAAUACGAACAGUAACCACUCAUUUUCUUAUGAUUCUGAAAUCUGGGCAUGGCAAGUGGGUACAGCUUGUCACUGCUUUAUGUGGUGUUGGCUGGGGCCACACAUGUGGAUUCACUGAGCUGAGAAUUCAGCGAGAGCUGGAACAUCUGCAAUAGUUUCACACACGUGUCUGGCACCUCAGCUGGGAUGGCAGGAAUGGCACAGGCUGGUUGGCCCCAUCUCCCUGUCCAUAAGGGUUCAUGUGGUCCCCCAUCAGUUAGUUAUAUUGCCUGAGUUCCUUCACAUGGGAUCCCAAGAGAACAACAACAAAAAGCUGCUAAGAUUCUUAAGGUCUCAUUUGAGAAUGUAUAGUGUCGUUUCUGUUGCACUCUGUUGAUCCAAGCAACUCACAAGGCCAGCCCAGAUUCAAGGGAGAGAAUAAUAGUUUUCAGCUCCUGGUGGGAGGAGAGAAAUGUGCAUUCAAGGAUGGCAGCUCUUGUUGCAUCCAUCCUGACAAUCUAAUUUUGAUAAUUCAAUUGUGUAGAUGAGAGAAAGAAAAUGAAAAGGAUUUGUAAACUAUAAAUCUCUAAACAGAUGGGAGGAAAGGAAUUGAUGAAACAAUAAAUUUAUUGAUGAAACAAUAAAAAUAAACAUAAAGAACCAAAGGUAGGUUUGGACAUUCAUUAAUUUACUCUUGUAAUAUUUAUUGAGUAGCUUGUAUGUGGUAGGUACCAUACUCAGGGCGGGAGAUUAGUGAUGAACAAGACAGAUGAGCUCCCACAACUCACCACAUCUUGCUGCCAGACAGGAGAGACAUAAGUUACACAUGUAAGCAAACAGUUAAUAUCCCUAUAAAAAGUGCUAUGGAGAAAAGAAGCAGGACACUAAGAGAGAAAGAAACAAGGAAAACCAACACAGUAAAUUUUUCUGGCUGAGGAAACUAAGCCUGGAGGGUGGGAUGGAGUUAGACCAGCAAAUAAAGGGGUAUGCAGGAAUGUCCAAAGCAAAAACAACUCAAGGAUGACAAGUGUGGCAAGAGCACUUAACAGAAACCUGUGAUAGCAGACAUGUAAGCUAUGAAAGGGGUUUGACUUUGAUUCUAAGUGCAAGGAAAGCCACUGAAGGCUUUUAAGCAGGAGAGUGACGGGAUUUAGAAUUAUGCUUUAGAAAAUUCAUUUUUACUCUUUGAUUGUGAGGGUCAAGAAUGGAAAGAGGAAGCUACUGCAGAGGACCAGGAGAGUGAUGAUGAUGGCUUAGAUUAAGGGACAGGCUUUUCUGUCUAGUUUUCUGUCUAGUAAAACUAGACAGAAACUAGAGCCUUCUUGCUUGUUCCCUGAUAAGAUAAGCAAUGCUAAUAAACUAAGUCUAAAUAGAACGUAUGCCUUUUCUUGCAUUUCAAUGUAUUUUAAUUUCUUUGUUAAUAACAAUUAACCACUUGUACAGAAGAGUCGAGGCAUUGAGGUGUAAGAGAACUAGAAAUAAUUCUCUCAUAAGCAGUAGAAAUAGUAGGAAUUAGGUUCAAGACACAUGUUGGAGGUGGAAUUAAGAGGAUUUGUUGAUAGAAUAAUAAUAAUUGGGAAGGAGAAAAAGGUAAUUCUAAGGUUUCUAGCUUGAGCAACUAGGAGGGGGAUUCUGCUAUUUACAGAAAUGGGGAAGCUGGAACAUGUUUCUAAGGGAAAUAAAAAUAUACCUUUAUGGCAUGUUAAAUUUUGACAUCCAAAUGAAACUAUCAACAACGCAGUUAGCUAGGCAAUCAAAGAAUGAGCUAAAGAAAUAUGAGAGUCAUGACAGUACAGAUUCAUUCUUCCAACUGCCCACUGGCCUAGAUUGGGUGAAAAGCCAUCAACCCAUGUCACUUUAGGCUGCCAAGCUUAGACAUGCCAUGCAUGAUUGGCCGAGUAAGUGGUUUUCUUUUCAGGCCAGGAUCAAGCCUUUUUCAUUUACUUUCAAAUG